UCGAGAUGGCAGAAGGAGUAAUGACCUCUUAAGCAUCCCUCCAGCCCUGCUUUCUGAGAUCCUGAAAUGCCUGCUGGGUUUGCAGGAGCUGUAGGAAUGGCAUCUUGAGGAGCUGAACCACAGCAGCUCCCAGACCUCUGGCUAGAAGGCUGCUGCACCGGAUUAACGCUGCCUGGCCCCAAACCCAUUCUGCAUCUCAGGGAAGCCCUGAUACUGUAAAACUAUAUUGGAUUCCAGUCACUAACCCGUCAGUGAACCUGUGGAGUUGGAAAUGUCUCCGGGGCUGUCAUGUAACAUUUCCUGGUGACACGGGAUAACCCUCUCCGCUGACCAGAAUGUAGAGCAGUCAGGGAGAGUGGUGUAUACCGACUAACCCGGAAGGAGGGGCAGCACGGCAGGAGAUAGCACAGUCCCCAAGGUUUCAGGAAAACAAGUGACUGGCGAGAGGACAAAGAGCGUGAGUGCUGUAUGGAGGAAUAACUAGCAGAAUUCAAUGCCAUUCUCCACUUGAUCUGCGAGCAGAAGACCUUGCCUUGCACCAGUUCUGAGACUCUAGGGAUCAUGAACACCAACUGUGCACUGAGUCCAAUCCUGGGUCAUCAAACCGUGUACGUGGAAUGGGAAUAAAAAGACUUUU